rnacentral:rRNA from 1 species
CCUACGGGAGGCAGCAGUCGGGGAUAUUGCGCAAUGGAGGAAACUCUGACGCAGUGACGCCGCGUGCAGGAAGAAGGUUUUCGGAUUGUAAACUGCUUUAGACAGGGAAGAAACAAGACAGUACCUGUAAAAUAAGCUCCGGCUAACUACGUGCCAGCAGCCGCGGGAAUACGUAGGGAGCAAGCGUUAUCCGGAUUUAUUGGGGGUAAAGGGUGCGUAGACGGGAGGUCAAGUGUGUUGUGAAACCCCGCGGCCUAACUGCGGAACUACAAAGAAAACGUACUGUCUUGAGUGCUGGAGAGGAAAGUGGAAUUCCUAGUGUAGCGGUGAAAUGCGUAGAUAUUAGGAGGAACACCAGUGGCGAAGGCGACUUUCUGGACAGUAACUGACGUUGAGGCACGAAAGUGUGGGGAGCAAACAGGAUUAGAUACCCUUGUAGUC